AUGAGGAGCAGGACAAAAGGCAGAGGAGAGGUUUGUCACCAGCAAAGCCCAUUAACAAUUUCCAGGGACUCGAGUGGGAGUGAUAAAAUAAAGUCUAACCUUUUCCUUUUCCUUGUGCUUAGUCCCUUUCACCGGUUCACCGGGUGCUGCGUGCUGGGGCCUCACACCUGGCACUUGACCUCAGAGUUCCUCUUGCAAAACGGCUGCCCCGACACCUCGCCUGGGCGGGCCGUGUGCAGAGACCGUGCCCACCACCCCUCAAUCCAGGGUGGGGCGGCGGGCCGUGUGCAGAAGCACUGUGCCCGGCACUGCCGUCUGGAGCCCGGGACUGCACACCUGGGGCUGCCUCACGAAAACCCCAUUCCCCCUCGAGAUUCCUAUAAAGCAGCCUGUCCAAGUACCACGACCCACACCUGUCCGCAAGAGCGUGUGCGCCCAGCAGGAGCCUGCAUCUCUCCAAUCAGCGAUGAAAGAAUAAGGCAUUUUUACCCUUUGCUUCUGAACCCAACUCUGUCUCGCUCCGCUGCCUCAAAGAACACGGGACAGGAGGACCCUCGUUGGCGAGCAACUCAAAAGGGUCCUCAUGCAGGAGCCUGGACUACCCUGUAGCUCAAAUGGGCCAUCACUUGCUGCUUACUCUAGUUCUGAAAGAGCUGCUGAAGAGCUAGGUGUGUCGUUCUUAUCAAGCUGGCCAACAAGGCACUGAUGCAAGAGGCAAGAAGACUGCCUUCAACCAAAG
rnacentral:lncRNA from 1 species